GAUACUAGAGCUGCAAGUGUAGUAGAAAGAACAUGCACCGGAUCUGAAAUAUUCUGUUUCAGUUUUGUCAUUGUUUUCCCAAAGCCUUAUUCAUAGUAAGUCCUUAGGUCUUAAUUUAAUCACUAUUUGCUCUCUGUGUGUCCUUGAGCAAGUCACCUCUCUGGGCCUCAGUUCCUUAUCUUUAAAAGGAAGGGAUUGGUCGAUCUCUAAUUUUCUUUCCAACUUUACAUUUGCAGUUUUGUAAUUGCUCCUAUCUCAGCUUCUCCCAGUUCUCUGCUACCCUCACAGGGAGAAAUGUUGAGUCAGCUGAUGCUUUGCUGAGUGAGUGUGAAGACUCUGCUGAUGGCACAAGGAGGGGGGAGUUACCUUUUCUGACAAUAGAAUGUGGGCACUGCACCUCAACCCUCGCCUCAGAGAAUAUAGCAAAUUUAUAGAGAUUAACCUGAGUAUCACAGGUGUGCCCUUUACACAAGCUCUGGGGUAUUUGCCAAACCUCUUGGUAACAGAAUUGUGUUGUUUCCAAUCUUGUUUGAAAUAGAAAUCUUUCUGUUAUGGCACAGCGGCUCACUAUCCUUUGUUGUUCAACAUUUGUUUUUGGACAAGAUUAAUGACAUCACAGGGUGAUGUCUUGUCUUGUGCAUGAAUUAGAUUGAAGUUAGGUAGAGUCAGGAAAAGUCAUUGGCCUCACUUUCUCUUCUAGAGAUAUCAAAAUCCAGUGGCAUGCAAUGUGUAAUGAAGCUCUAAUCACUCCAUAGCACCUGCUUCAACUACUUUCAUGGUCAUAGAACAAUUGUUCUCAUCAGCCUAUUCCACUGGGAGAAGACUUCCAAUGGCUGAGUUGCCUUGGAUUUUGUGGGCAUGCUUAUGUGACCUCGCUGCUAAUUUUGCAAAAACAAAGAGAGACUCACUUGUUCUCCUGUUUGGUGUGGUAUAGUUUCUGGUUAUCUCCAUUGUGGGACCAAAGAAGUUUCCAGGUAGUGUCUUGAUAACCUAAGGUCCUUACAGAGGAGGAUUCCCCUUCCAAACAGUAACCUCUCUCUCCCUUCCUCGCUGUCUUCCAUAUGCCAAGAAGAGUCUUUGGAAAGGCACUAGGAAACUACCCAGCAGACCAGGAGAGCCUGAAGAUAAAAGAGAGUGCAGAUGGUAGAGGAAACAAUCUGCUAAAGAAGGCAAAAUGGAAUGGAAUCCCUUGUGCCUAUAAAGGGAGUUACCUUGGCAAGGAGAAAAACCAGCUCUUCUAUGAGAUGGGGGGAAGGAGGACAUGGUGGCAGAAGACAUCUAAAUGAUAUGAGAUGAGGAGGAGUAAGAGAGAACCCCCAGUGAAUGGCAUCAAUUUUUCCAGUGAAAUAUGAUGAGUUAAGAAUUCUCAGCUAAAAGGGAGGAUGGAGGGGGAGUUAUGAGAGGUUUGAGGAGAAAUGAGAAGGUUGGAAAAGCUACUCUGAUGAGUGGAAUAGUGAGUCAGCUAGAGAGUUGUAAAAGAAUUGUCUUGCAGUAGAGAGGGCCCAUUUGAGAUUAUAAAACAUAAAUUUGUAGUGGAUGCAGUCAGUCUGUUUCUGUGAUUUUCUCCAGUUUAAUUCAGCAGCAUGUGAAUAGGAUUAAAGGCAAUGGAUGAUGGAAGAUUAAGACCUGGAAGUUAAGACAGGAUAAAGUGGGAUGGAUGAAUGAACUUAAGAAAAAGACAAUCUAAAUCUGAAUUGGUUCAUAAAGAGAUCAACCCUUAGAAAUAAAUCAGUCAACCAGCAUUUUCAAAACACCUAUGUCUCAGGAACCAUGCUAGGUGCUGAGGAUAUAAAGACAAGAAAAGAAAAGCAUUUGGUUCUUGCCCUUAAGUUUACAUUCAGUAGGUGAAAUGUACAUAUCGAUAGGAAGCAAACAAAUACUGGGAGAAAUUAUGCUUAACCCACAUUGAUCCUUAAUCACUGCUUAUUGAAUUGGAGCCUAGAAGGCAGUUGAGUGGUUCUAAGCAACAUGCCCUUGAGCAUGGCAGUGCCAGAGCAGAGCAGUAAUGGCCUUUAAAGGUAAAUGAAAGUAUUUGAAUAGCUGGAGAGAGGAAGCCAGCCUAGUGAUUUGUGAAUGCCAUUGUCACUUCUUUGAGAGGACAGCUUGGGUCCAGGCCAGAAUAUAUGGGCUCUAUUGAAGGAGUUGUUGAUUUAUCAGUCUUGUAGCUUCCUGAAGGAGAGACUAGUCCACAAGAAGACCAUGAAGGUGCCCACUAUAAGGCAGGUGAUGGAUGAAGAACUCUAUGUCUUGUCCAUUUUUCUUUGAGACAGGCUAGAAAAAUCUGACCCCAACUGCUCAUAACUUUAAGGAAAAUACCUCCAAAGUAAGUAAUUUCCAGGAAGUCUGGUGAAUAAUGGCCUCCAAAUAAAGUUGGAUAGAAUUCA